rnacentral:rRNA from 1 species
GACGAACGCUGGCGGCGUGCUUAACACAUGCAAGUCGAACGGAAAGGCCCUGCUUUUGUGGGGUGCUCGAGUGGCGAACGGGUGAGUAACACGUGAGUAACCUGCCCUUGACUUUGGGAUAACUUCAGGAAACUGGGGCUAAUACCGGAUAGGAGCUCCUGCUGCAUGGUGGGGGUUGGAAAGUUUCGGCGGUUGGGGAUGGACUCGCGGCUUAUCAGCUUGUUGGUGGGGUAGUGGCUUACCAAGGCUUUGACGGGUAGCCGGCCUGAGAGGGUGACCGGCCACAUUGGGACUGAGAUACGGCCCAGACUCCUACGGGAGGCAGCAGUGGGGAAUAUUGCACAAUGGGCGGAAGCCUGAUGCAGCAACGCCGCGUGCGGGAUGACGGCCUUCGGGUUGUAAACCGCUUUCGCCUGUGACGAAGCGUGAGUGACGGUAAUGGGUAAAGAAGCACCGGCUAACUACGUGCCAGCAGCCGCGGUGAUACGUAGGGUACGAGCGUUGUCCGGAUUUAUUGGGCGUAAAGGGCUCGUAGGUGGUUGAUCGCGUCGGAAGUGUAAUCUUGGGGCUUAACCCUGAGCGUGCUUUCGAUACGGGUUGACUUGAGGAAGGUAGGGGAGAAUGGAAUUCCUGGUGGAGCGGUGGAAUGCGCAGAUAUCAGGAGGAACACCAGUGGCGAAGGCGGUUCUCUGGGCCUUUCCUGACGCUGAGGAGCGAAAGCGUGGGGAGCGAACAGGCUUAGAUACCCUGGUAGUCCACGCUGUAAACGGUGGGUACUAGGUGUGGGGUCCAUUCCACGGGUUCCGUGCCGUAGCUAACGCUUUAAGUACCCCGCCUGGGGAGUACGGCCGCAAGGCUAAAACUCAAAGGAAUUGACGGGGCCCCGCACAAGCGGCGGAGCAUGCGGAUUAAUUCGAUGCAACGCGUAGAACCUUACCUGGGUUUGACAUGGAUCGGGAGUGCUCAGAGAUGGGUGUGCCUCUUUUGGGGUCGGUUCACAGGUGGUGCAUGGCUGUCGUCAGCUCGUGUCGUGAGAUGUUGGGUUAAGUCCCGCAACGAGCGCAACCCUUGUUCACUGUUGCCAGCACGUUAUGGUGGGGACUCAGUGGAGACCGCCGGGGUCAACUCGGAGGAAGGUGGGGAUGACGUCAAGUCAUCAUGCCCCUUAUGUCCAGGGCUUCACGCAUGCUACAAUGGCUGGUACAGAGAGUGGCGAGCCUGUGAGGGUGAGCGAAUCUCGGAAAGCCGGUCUCAGUUCGGAUUGGGGUCUGCAACUCGACCUCAUGAAGUCGGAGUCGCUAGUAAUCGCAGAUCAGCAACGCUGCGGUGAAUACGUUCCCGGG